rnacentral:lncRNA from 1 species
UAUCAACGCAGAGUACACAUUCUUAAGAAACACAUGCAUUCUUGCCUUAACUGAGGACUGAAAUAACAAAACCAAACAAAAAUAACAGAACUUUAAGUGCCCUGAUGGAAAUGUACAGUAUGAGUUACAUCCAUCCAUCUAUCUAUACACACACUUAUAUGUAUAUACAAUAUAUACAUACAAAUGAUAAUAGCUGUGCCAAAAAUGUGCAUAUUUAACACAGUUUUAAAAAGCCAGUAGAUCAUGGUAUAAUACAAUUUAUUUCCACUAGUGAAUGGCACAAAUGAAGAAAUGCAAAGGAGGUGUUUCAAGUACAAUGAAGUCAUUUUUCACAGGUGAAAAUAAAUAGUAUUAUUCCAGUGUCCAACACAAUGUAUUCUAUAAAAGUUUAAAAUGCCAGACAUUUAGUAUUUACAGAAAUAGAAAGUCACUAAAGUCUGCUUUAUGGUCUGAAAAAGACACUCAUAGAGUUUUCAAUUUUUGAAAAGGGGGUGAGAAAAAAAUUGGUGGAGGUGGGAGGGAGUGUCCAGGAUAGUUUCUUUAGUGUACUGAAUGUUUGCCUGAUGUCUAGGCAACCAAAUAUCAUAAUGACUAUGCUAAAAUGUUCCAUUUACCAACAAAUCCUUGACCUAGAGUAUUAAGCAUAUUACACCAGUGUGUGUGGCUUCAAAUGUAAGACUCUUUAUCUGUAGGUAUUGAAAUGGCAAAUAAGAAUUGCAGCUCUGAAAAUAUAAUAUAAACACAUUUUUCAGAUAACAUUAUACAAACAAAAAUACUUCUGGAUACUAGAAUUUGGGGUUUGAGCUGACUUCAAUAAGGGGAGGAAAAAAUAUGUGCAAAGGGAAGGGAGCUCAAUUUGGAAUAAUAUAUUUCAAAGUAUGUGGCUUUGCAUUUUUAAAAUGCUAACCAAAAAAAUGGGAGAUAGAGUGACACCAAGGAACUUUUUACAGCCAGCCUCUGGAUACCAGAUAUAGCAUUUACAACUUCUUGAUAUGCUACACAAAUUUUCCACACUUUUAAUUUUCUUAAAGACAUAUAUAGUGAGUGAACACCAACACUGGGAAGGAGGUAGUGUUAAUUUGAUCAAAUAUUGAUAUUUGCCCACUGAUUCCCCAGAGAGUGCUUGCUCUUUCCCUAGGAUAUCUCGAAACCUUUCCAAUUUUUCUGCUACAAGCUUUACUCUGUGAUGGUUCCUACCAUGUAUGAGAUUCCUCAGAAGCUAGAUCUCACAAACAUAUACAAAGCAAUUAAUUUGAAUCAUUUUUGUAAACUAUAUAUAUACUUUAAAAUUAACUUAAUGGUAAAAUCCAGGCAGAGUCAUGAUCUACAUGUAAAACAGGUGGCCAAAUAAUUACAUAAGAUAAAAAACCCUACUGGAGAUCUGAAUGGACUCAGUAACUCAAUUUGACUUAAAUUUAAGUCCACAACUGGACUUUAAAAUGUACCACCAGUAGUAUUUUGGGUUUGAAAGAGUUUUGUAUGCAAAACUAAUCUGCUUCCCUAUUCCACCCAUCCAGUAGUACAGAGCAGCCAGAUCUAUGAAAAAUUUUUAAGGGUAUCAAAUUAUAUUUUUGAUAUUUUAUUAAAUUCUAAAGCUCUCUCUUAUCAUUUGACACCAAAUACGUAGAUUUCUCAAUUUGUUGGAAACACUAUAAUACCUGAAUGCAAAAAAGAUACUGAGACAACCAAAAGCCCCUUUCACUGAUAUUUUAAGUACAUGUCAUAUUUACCUAAAAACUGGUGACCUGGAGCAUGGCCGAAAGGACAACACAUAAGAGUGCUUCUUGAAACACUGCCUAAAAUUUUGUGUGAACUCUAUGGUGAUUUUGGUUUUAAAAACAUUUACAUUAAAACAUUAAUUUCCUUCCAGUUUCCUGAAUCUCAGAAACUCCUACAGGCGAGGAUUCAUGGCAACUCGACUGAC